GAGUAAUUCGGACUGUCGGUCUACCGAGCAAUGUCACCCGCUCAAUGGAAGAUCUUCCCUAAUACUA
rnacentral:pre_miRNA from 1 species